CGUGAGCGGCGGCCAGGCCGCUCUGCUUGGCGCUCAUGUCCGCCCUGCUCCGGACCGGGCCGCGCGCUGUGCCCCGAGAGCCAAGAAGGCAGGAGCGAACGCGGGAGCUAGAGGGCAGGGCCGAGGCGCUGCGGCCGGCCCAGAGAGGCCCCCGCACGUCCAGGGCCGCCGCCCGGCGCCCCGAGGGGCAGUCGGCGCCCGGCGCGCUCUUCUCGGGGCGGUGGGCAAGGCUGGCGGCCUGACGCGGGCGCGGGAGACGAGGAGACGCGGAGAAGAAGGUGUCCCGGCUGCAGGCACCCCUCGCUGUCUCCAGCAGGAAGGGGCGACUCAGGUGGCGGUGCGACUGCCGCUGGUUUCGGUUCUGGUGCGCCAUGACGGGCCGCUGCCGCUUUCUGCCGCCGCGCUUGGCGCCCCGGGCCUCCGCACCGCCUAGUCUCCGGCGGCCGCUGCUACCGCCGCCAUCCUCCGGCUCCCACGGCGGCUGGCGGCUGAGUGGGAGGCGCCCGCCCAGACUCCGCCGGAGCCACCUUCCCUCCUCCCCCAGCCACCCAGCCGUUAUUAACGGAGAAAGAGGAAAAACGGGUGGCGCGCGAGGGGAGGACGAAGAAUGGGAGGGAGGGAGGGGUGGCCCGCGCUUCCCGGCAACCGUCGCUUCCCUCCCCCUGCGAGAUUAAUUUCACAGGGGAUUAAUUUCUCAUUUACAAAUAAAAAUGUAAUCAUAGCCUCCUGGUAUCGCACAUCCAUGGGAAUACUGAAUUUAUUUGGACUAGAAACUAACACCUGCUGGAAUGUCACCAGAAUAGAACCUCUUAAUGAAGUUCAAAGCUGUGAAGGCAUGUUUCUUCCAAAAAUGCUGUCAUUUGUAAACAUUCAUAAACAUUUAAUAAUAUUAUGAUUCACUUUAAAGAAUUAUUGUAAAAUACUGUUGUUGAUUUAAAAAAAAAUUAGAACUGGCUCACCUCAAUGAGUAUUUUACAUUUUAAAGUAGUUUUCUGAGAAGGCUGUGUACUUACAAAUUUGAGUAUAAAUUUUGGAAUUUGAGUAUUAACAUAUCCCAUUGUAAGGCAACCUUGACUAUAAGUUAGUCUUCUAUUUCAGAAUGCGAAGAUACAGACAGAUGUUUUUUGGGGUAGCUUCAAUAUAUAAAUUUUGAGGAUAGAUUAAAGAGUCAAAUAUCUAUUUGUAAUAGCUAAUGUAUAAAUUUAAUUAUGCAUACAUAUUUAAAAAUCGGAUAUGCAAUAAUAGAUUGAUUUAGAAACAUUACUUUUUUAUAUAUGCUCAUAGUCCGUGAGUAGUAUUAAUAAAACUCUUCCUAUUUAUCUUCUACAUUGGUUUCUUUGUCAAAGAACCACUUUUGGAGUCAUCCAACAGCGUUCCAGGAUACAUAGUGGUCACUUCCAUUUAAGAUGUUUGCAUUUCAGCACUUUUAUAAUUCAAAUAUGGUGCUGUCCCUUGAGACUCUUGUUGAGAGCCACAUGUAUCUCUUUUUAUAACACUAACACUGUUGUUUUUUCUGCAUUUCUUCAAAUUCUUAACAACAUGACUUAUUAUAUUUUAUGAAUAAAUUUUUAGACUUGUCUGUAACAACAUUCAACUCUUGGAAUAUAAACUAAAUCUAUUUUCCUUACAUUUUUUACUGAUUCCCUCAGUAAAAAUAGAAUUGAUGAGGAUGUUUGA
rnacentral:lncRNA from 10 species